rnacentral:tRNA from 1 species
GGCCCCGUAGCUCAGUAGGAUAGAGCGAGACACUCCUAACGUCUAGGUCGCAGGUUCGAUUCCUGCCGGGGUCACCA